rnacentral:rRNA from 1 species
CCUCGGGAGGCAGCAGUGAGGAAUAUUGGUCAAUGGGCUAAGGCCUGAACCAGCCAAGUCGCGUGAGGGAAGACGGUCCUAUGGAUUGUAAACCUCUUUUGUCGGGGAGCAACGAGGCCACGUGUGGCCGAAGUGAGAGUACCCGAAGAAAAAGCAUCGGCUAACUCAGUGCCAGCAGCCGCGGUAAUACGGAAGGCCCGAGCGUUAUCCGGAUUCAUUGGGCUUAAAGGGAGCGUAGGCGGGCGUUCAAGUCAGCUGUAAAAUCGCGCGGCUCAACCGCGCCCCGCAGUUGAAACUGGACGCCUUGAGUUCACAACAGGCAGGCGGAAUUCGUGGUGUAGCGGUGAAAUGCAUAGAUAUCACGAGGAACCCCGAUUGCGAAGGCAGCCUGCCGGGGUGCGACUGACGCUGAGGCUCGAAGGUGCGGGUAUCAAACAGGAUUAGAUACCCUUGUAGUC